AUGACUAAUUCGUCCACGCCUACGAACCAGUCGACAUUUUGUACAAAUUUUAUGAACGGAAGCUCUUAUUUUCAUAUUUCCGUAUCCUUUUUAAAAUUCUGA
rnacentral:rRNA from 1 species